GUUGCAGCUAAUAGUCCUUAUGUUGCAGCUAAUAGUCCUUAUGUUGCAGCUAAUAGUCCUUAUGUUGCAGCUAAUAGUCCUUAUGUUGCAGGUAAUAGGAAUCUGCAGCACUUGUCAUCAGGCUUUUACAGUAGCAUCAGUUAAAGCAUAGGCUUUCUCCAGGAGAGAAAUCCGCUGCAUACUCUGUAAUUAGGUAACAGCACUUUCAUCGCCUUGCUAAUAGUGCAGACUCCAAGACAUGGAGUUCAUGUAAACACAAGCCUUGUGUGUGUGCCUGAUUCAUUCCAGACAGUUGAGUGUGACUGUAACGGUGGUAGGUGGUUAGAGAGUGGGGCUAAGUAGUGGAGGGGGAAGAGGAGGAGUGGAUGGAGGAGUGAAAGAGGGGUUGGGGGGGUCUAUGAUGGGGGUCAGGAGAGGCUUUUCAUUCAGGGAGCUGUGCAUCUGUCCUUGCAGGCAGCAGCCUUUGUGCCGGAGUUCAGAGUGUGAGUGUUAGUGUGAGUGUGUGUGCGUAAGUGUGUGUGUGUGUGUGCGCGCGUGCGUGCGUGCGUGUGUGCGUGCGUGCAUGUUUGAGCUCAACUGAGUGAGCGUCUGCCAGCCGGGGGAGUGUAGGGGGGGUAGUGUAUUCAGGGGGAGAUGAGGAUCAUGGCCAUCCACACAGCCACCAGCGCGGUAGAAUUCAUGUCAUGUCUGCAGUCUGGCUGCAGCUGCCUGAUCAGGGCCGAUUCAGCGGUGAAUGGAGGCGAAAUCUGUGACUGCCAGCUGUCCCUCCAUUGACUCUCUCAGGGAUCGUUUUGUCUAGAGGUCCUACUGCCUCCCGUGGCUCAUUCAUCUGCCCUGAUCUGGGGAUGAGAUGCACGCCACCUCUCCUCUCCUCCUAUCAGCCCCUAUCUUCUCUCUCUCAAAUAGCCGCAAGGGGACGAGGUGACACAGCGAGAGAAGGAGCCAGAACCCCUCCCCCUCUCUCCACCACAACAUGUGACCUUUCUUCUUUUCAUCCCUCUAUCCUCAUUAAUUACAUCGCCUGGCUUUGGCACCGUGGCGAAAAGGACCUGUGUUAUUUACUUAGUCUCCACAAGCAGCUGGCGAAGAGCCAGCCAGAAAGCAGCACCAAAACCCUUCCUGCAGUUCAUACCUUAGAUAAACUGAUGUGAAUCCCUCGUCAGACAGAUCUUGUUGGAGCCAGCCAGCAUCCUCUAACAGAGGCCGCCCCAUGCGGUGUAGAGUGCCUCUGGAGCAGGCCAUGGAGAGGCAGGGGACAGGGGAUACAUAAUGGGACCAUGGCGGAUACGCUGGGAGUUUGUUUUCAGACCAACAUGCACCAUUUGGAGUAGCGUGAUAAUGACUGUGUGGUACAGGGACCAUGACGAGAACCGUACUGGAUUUUUUGUUGUGUUCCUCCUCAGUCCUUCCCCCCAGGAAACACCUGAAGGAACCAAUGUGUGUCUAUGUGUGGCAGGGUUUUAGUUCCUUGUGAUGAUGUCUGGAGAGAACUGCACCAUAAACUUUACAGUACAAUGUCUUCAUUAGCAAAAAAAAUGAAUAAACCAGGUAACCUGUUUCUGAACUGGAAGGGGGCUUCCCUCUUAGAUAUCAAUGGUAGGAGAAGACAUAUGAAGAGAGAUGGUUCUACUACAACCCGAGGCCUUUAAGAGUCCAUACAGCAACACUGUUUUCUUUCUUCUGUUACACAUAAGUAGAAGUUCCUCAACACUAUUGGAAGGACACCGUGUGAGAAGAAAAUAAUCCAGCAACAACAUCCAACCUCCAUCUAAAAGUGAACUGCAAUCAAGGUUUUAGACAUACGGCAUGUGUCCUAGUGUUAAAAAAGUGAUUGCCAGUAUUUUGUACUUUUAAUAGGCACCUUUUAUUGGUUAGCAUAGACAAAGUAUGGCAGAGUUCACCAUUCCUGACGAAACAGGUGAAAUUAUAAAUGCAGAUUCAGCAAAAAUGUAUUGGCUCACAAAUUGAAUGGGUAUUUCAGCUCUUGAUCAUGCACAUGAUCUGUCUGGCUAUAAUAUUAGCAGUCAACAAACCUAAAGUACCGUGCAGUGUAAACAGACACAUCCUAUGGUAAUGGAACCAAUACUGAAUUCAACACCAGCAGUAAAAAUUAGACUCAGGACUAAACUAACAGCUUACUGUGGAACAACUCCUAUUUCUAAUGUGCUGUGUAUGUCUGUGUAUUAGAUCAUGCAUCAACCCAAAAAAUUGGUAGCUGCAAGAAAAUGUGAUACUGCUAAGUAAUACAUUUUCAGAUUCAAUCUUUGAAAGUACCAUGUGUUUCAAUCAUUCAGGUGCAUUUAAGUAUAAAUAAAAUAUUUAUUUAAUUACAUUAAACAAACAAAACAUUCUUAAGCAAAAUGUGCAAAGGGAACACCCUUGAUCUAAACUAACCAGCAUUUUUUAUUAGAAUGAUUCUAGGCUCAUUUUCUUUCUUUAUUUCAUAUUUUAGAAAGAGAGCUAGAAAACGGGCUAGACAACUCACAGAUGGGCUUCAGCAAAUUAGUGUCAGAGUGAUAAAUGAAAAAAAGAUGGAGAGAAAUUAAGCUGGAUAAAAAUACCCAUCUGGUGGCACCUCCUACUCUGGGCCAGCCUUUGAUGAAUAGCAUUCCCUGAGAUGGAAAUACAAGGACAAAGCAAAUUUCAUAUAGCUGUUGGCCCCCGUCUCCUACUGCCUCCCACAUCACAAGUGUGGCACAGGAGCCCCUGCCAUACUGAGCAUGUCUGUCUGCAUGUCUGUCUCCAGCAACAGCGUCACGCAUGUGGCUGCCACCACGGCGACAAGGGGCCCCUCAGCAGGCCCAGUCCAGGGCUAUAGGGGUCAACAGGGGACACUCUCAGCCUCAGUGUCCUAGUAGGACUUAACUUACCAUUCCUUUAAACCACACCGACCUGACAACACAACAGCAGCACUGGGAGACCCGGCCUGCUGCACACAGAAGUAGCCAAAAUACGACCAUGAUGCCUCACAUUUUAGUACACAUUGUUUACAAGGUUUUAUGGUAUUAUAGACUGAGCUGAAUACAGAAUGUUUCCUCUGUUUUUCAUCUUCGCAGCAAGGGUUGUUUUGAUAUAUUUACAAUGUCAAAUAUGAUUUGUAAUCUAUUCACCAGCACGUUUCUGGUCUUAGUUAUGGCAAAUUGUAACAAAACAUAUUUCUGUGAUAUGAAAACAACAAUCUUAUUUAUCUGAAAAUAUGCUUGUGUUGAACUUUGAUUUCUCAACGUUAUUGUAGAACAGGGGAUAAUGGGGGUGUUUAAAUAUAUUUUAAUGUGCUACAAAUGCAUUGGAUCCAGCCUACACUCCAGAGUGUACUAGUCAGAACUGUCUAAUCAAAUAUAUUAGGCUCACCCCUAUUCAUCAUAUAUACUGUAUAUUGACAUACAUUUUAUGAUCUGCGUUGAUGAAUGUAAUUGGUCGAUAAGUAGUACCAAAAUUCUGACAUUGCAUUGAUAAUAGGUAUGCAUGUACAAAUAGUAAACGUCUCUGAAAUUGGAGUAACUGCACUUCAUAUCCCAUGCAACACCUUAUAAUUAAAAAAUAGGGGGAGAAUGAUGGUGAAAGUCAUUUAGAAAUAUGCAUCACUAUGCUAACAGAACAUAUUGCUAAUAUUGUCAUAUUGGAACCCCCUCUGCUGUGUAGACUGUUUCAUUCCUGCACUAUUCUUUAUGGAUUGGUGCACAACAAACAUUAUGUAUUUAUAUCAAUCAGUCAAUUGCAAUUCGAUAAAGCUCAUUUAUUCCGUGUGUAAAAUGGUUAAACAACUUACCAUCUCGUUCAUCUUAGUAUCACGUUUUACCAAUAAUUAGCAUUGCUUUAUAAAUGUAUAUGUAUGCUUUUUGUAGUGUGGUACAUUCAGCUGUUCUGACAGUGAGUAUGUGGAUAGAAAUAAAAGCACUUUGUUGUAAAUAUGUACGUAGAUCUGAGAGAUGUCAUUCUCAUUUUGGAUAGAGUUAUCAGUGUAGUGACUCUGCAUUACUGAAUAAACUGUUACAGUCAACGUUG